rnacentral:rRNA from 1 species
GGCGACCGCGCACGGGUGAGUAACGCGUAUCCAACCUUCCCCAUAGUAGAGGAUAGCCCGGCGAAAGUCGGAUUAAUACUCUAUGUUGUACAACGAGGACAUCUGAAUUGUACCAAAGAUUCAUCGCUAUGGGAUGGGGAUGCGUCUGAUUAGGUAGUCGGCGGGGUAACGGCCCACCGAGCCUACGAUCAGUAGGGGUUCUGAGAGGAAGGUCCCCCACAUUGGUACUGAGACACGGACCAAACUCCUACGGGAGGCAGCAGUGAGGAAUAUUGGUCAAGUGGGCGCGAGCCUGAACCAGCCAAGUAGCGUGCAGGGAAUGACUGCCCUAUGGGUUGUAAACUGCUUUUAUCAGGGAAUAAAGUGAGGCACGUGUGCCUUUUUGUAUGUACCUGAUGAAUAAGGACCGGCUAAUUCCGUGCCAGCCGCCGC